UUGAAUCAAUAUGAGCGGCAAAACCACACACCUCCGCUCUUUUUCCUUCUCCGUUCCAAACCCUAAAUGUGUAUUCACACAUUUAUUCUUCCUCUCCUCUUUACACCGCUGCUGCUUCUUCUACAUUCCUUUUUUUCGCCAGUGUCUUUCAUCGGUCUCACACUCAGAAUGAAAUUCCUUCUCCUUCGAUCUCCUUUCCUAUUUCACUAUAAACUAACCCUAGAAAUCUUUCAAGCAACACAACAUUCUCCGCCUUCGAUCUCUAAUCGCAUCAAUGGAAAUUUUUAUCCUCAGGUAACCUUACAUGGCGAGUUGAAGCAAAAACCCUAAAUUGGAACCAGGUGAACUCUCAUCCAGGAUAAGUAUUCAAUGUAGGUCAGCCCACGUUUGAGUUUUACAUGGAUAAGAUGGAC